GGACGAACGCUGGCGGCGUGCUUAACCCAUGCAAGUCGAACGGAAAGGCCCUGCUUUUGUGGGGUGCUCGAGUGGCGAACGGGUGAGUAACACGUGAGUAACCUGCCCUUGACUUUGGGAUAACUUCAGGAAACUGGGGCUAAUACCGGAUAGGAGCUCCUGCUGCAUGGUGGGGGUUGGAAAGUUUCGGCGGUUGGGGAUGGACUCGCGGCUUAUCAGCUUGUUGGUGGGGUAGUGGCUUACCAAGGCUUUGACGGGUAGCCGGCCUGAGAGGGUGACCGGCCACAUUGGGACUGAGAUACGGCCCAGACUCCUACGGGAGGCAGCAGUGGGGAAUAUUGCACAAUGGGCGGAAGCCUGAUGCAGCAACGCCGCGUGCGGGAUGACGGCCUUCGGGUUGUAAACCGCUUUCGCCUGUGACGAAGCGUGAGUGACGGUAAUGGGUAAAGAAGCACCGGCUAACUACGUA
rnacentral:rRNA from 1 species